UGACGUGCCUGGAACGUUGAGACCAGCUCUU
rnacentral:piRNA from 1 species